UACGGAGGGGGCUAGCGUUGUUCGGAAUUACUGGGCGUAAAGCGCGCGUAGGCGGCUUUGUAAGUUAGAGGUGAAAGCCCGGAGCUCAACUCCGGAAUUGCCUUUAAGACUGCAUCGCUAGAAUCAUGGAGAGGUGAGUGGAAUUCCGAGUGUAGAGGUGAAAUUCGUAGAUAUUCGGAAGGACACCAGUGGCGAAGGCGACUCACUGGACAUGUAUUGACGCCGAGGUGCGAAAGCGUGGGGAGCGAACAGG
rnacentral:rRNA from 1 species